AGUGAACGCUGGCGGUAGGCCUAACACAUGCAAGUCGAACGGCAGCACAGUAAGAGCUUGCUCUUACGGGUGGCGAGUGGCGGACGGGUGAGGAAUACAUCGGAAUCUACUUUUUCGUGGGGGAUAACGUAGGGAAACUUACGCUAAUACCGCAUACGACCUACGGGUGAAAGCAGGGGAUCUUCGGACCUUGCGCGAUUGAAUGAGCCGAUGUCGGAUUAGCUAGUUGGCGGGGUAAAGGCCCACCAAGGCGACGAUCCGUAGCUGGUCUGAGAGGAUGAUCAGCCACACUGGAACUGAGACACGGUCCAGACUCCUACGGGAGGCAGCAGUGGGGAAUCUUGGGCAAUGGGCGCAAGCCUGAUCCAGCCAUACCGCGUGGGUGAAGAAGGCCUUCGGGUUGUAAAGCCCUUUUGUUGGGAAAGAAAAGCAGCAGGUUAAUACCCCGCUGUUCUGACGGUACCCAAAGAAUAAGCACCGGCUAACUUCGUG
rnacentral:rRNA from 1 species